UCGAGUCGGCGUGGCAAUGUAGUCGCUGGCUGUACACAAGGCCUCAGUGAGUUUCAAGUUCAAGUUGAUAGGUGGCGUGGAGACAAGGUCAAGCUGCUCAACCUCCACUUGUGGGAGAAGAUCCAAGAGGACAACAAAGGGGAAGCUGCUUCUGACUAUGCCCUGAGCCACCUCCAUAGUGUACAUUUUGAAAUCUGCAUGGUGAUAUUCAAGUUUAACAAUUGA
rnacentral:lncRNA from 1 species